UACGUAGGUGGCAAGCGUUGUCCGGAUUUACUGGGCGUAAAGGAUGCGUAGGCGGGACAUUUAAGUCAGAUGUGAAAUACCCGAGCUUAACUUGGGUGCUGCAUUUGAAACUGGGUGUCUAGAGUGCAGGAGAGGUAAGUGGAAUUCCUAGUGUAGCGGAUGAAAUGCGUAGAGAUUAGGAGGAACACCAGUGGCGAAGGCGACUUACUGGACUGUAACUGACGCUGAGGCAUGAAAGCGUGGGGAGCAAACAGG
rnacentral:rRNA from 1 species